rnacentral:misc_RNA from 1 species
UUGUAUGCUAAUUGAAGAUUAUAUUCUAAUGGCACCGAAGUUCACAUACAAGGAAAGAUUUCUACAUGGUGCAAGUAGACUCCGCAAAGACUUCAACUUCGUCAUUUGCAUUACAGGUAUGAAUUGUAACUGUGACAUCCCUUUUACUGUCUCUUCUGUUUAUAUGCCAAUCAGAAUUACUUGAUUUAAUUACUCUUCUGCAGAAGGGUCAACCCAACGGCCAUGGUCUUUGAUUAGCUGGAUCAAUGCAUCGGU